UUAGCCAAAACUGGAUCCAGAAUAGUUGUAAUGAGUUUUACUAAACUAAGCAUUAAAAAAAAAAUACAACUAUUAUUUCCACCUCUGCAUUCUCUGCAUCUUUAAAUAUACCCGAAGCAUUGCAUGAAAACAGUUUUCAAGGAAACCAGGCUCUCAGUAAUUAACAUGGAUCCAGAAUAUGUUUCCAAGGAUCUGAACCCCUGCAGGACACUUGAUCAUACAAAUUACAAAAUGUCUUUGGAAUAGUUUACUCAAUGUAUGUAUUGGGAAUAAUACUGCUUCA
rnacentral:lncRNA from 1 species